UACGUAGGGGGCUAGCGUUGUCCGGAAUCAUUGGGCGUAAAGAGCGUGUAGGCGGCCCGGUAAGUCCGCUGUGAAAGUCGGGGGCUCAACCCUCGAAUGCCGGUGGAUACUGUCGGGCUAGAGUGCGGAAGAGGCGAGUGGAAUUCCUGGUGUAGCGGUGAAAUGCGCAGAUAUCGGGAAGAACACCCGUGGCGAAGGCGGUUCUCUGGGACGGUACUGACGCUGAGACGCGAAAGCGUGGGGAGCGAACAGG
rnacentral:rRNA from 1 species